rnacentral:rRNA from 1 species
CCUACGGGGGGCUGCAGUAGGGAAUUUUCGUCAAUGGGCGCAAGCCUGAACGAGCAAUGCCGCGUGAACGAGGAAGGUCUUCGGAUCGUAAAGUUCUGUUGAAGGGGAAAAAGAGCGGAGAGAGGAAAUGCUUUCUGAUUGAUAUUACCCUUCGAGGAAGUCACGGCUAACUACGUGCCAGCAGCCGCGGUAAUACGUAGGUGGCGAGCGUUAUCCGGAAUGAUUGGGCGUAAAGGGUGCGUAGGCGGCCUGCUAAGUCUGGAGUGAAAGGUACCGGCUCAACCGGUACAGGCGCUGGAAACUGGCGGGCUAGAGAGCAGGAGAGGGCGGUGGAACUCCAUGUGUAGCGGUAAAAUGCUUAGAGAUCAUACAGAACACCGAUUGCGAAGGCAGCUUACCAAACUAUAUCUGACGUUGAGGCACGAAAGCGUGGGUAGCAAACAGGAUUAGAUACCCUUGUAGUC